UAUAGGCCAGUUCGAGAAUCGGGAUUACAGCUCUUCUAAAGCUCUUUCUCUCUCUACCUCCUUCCCCCCAAAGUUGGCCAGAAUCAGGACUUAUGGCUUUUCUUCAUAAUCUUAUACAGACAGCUAAGCAUGUGACCUUAAAGACUAUGGUUUAAUUUCGCCAGCUUUUAAACUUGACGUAAAUGGAACAUACCCACGUGUUCUUUCGAGUUCGGCUUCUCCCAUUUAAUGUAACAGUUUUUGAGACUGAAUCACAUGUUGCCUGUAGUUUAGAUCACCGGUUCUCAGUGCUGUAGAUUACUGCAUGGCACACCACACUGCAAUGGCCGCAUCCAUUCUGCUGUGGGCAGACACAAACAACUCUCCCCGGCCUGCCACCUGUGUCCUUUAGGUGUCCUAAGAAGACCUCUGAUUUUUACCACCAAUAAGCAACUUGAACAUGGGGAAACAGCACUCGACUUGAAAAUGGGGAAAUCCAGAGAAAUCUGAGUCCUUAUUAGGGACUGGAUCCUGGACCUCUCAGAGAACAGAGGUUCAGAUUCAUUUCACUUUCUGGGCCAAGAAAUCAACACAGAUUUUUUUGAGCAUACAGCGUCUGAAAGGAAAGGAGGACAGGCCCCGAUGCGCAGGAGGCCACGGAAUACGGUGCCUCCGGCUCUGGGAGCGGAGAGGACUGCCAGGAGGAAGCAGUCUUUGGGAUGGUCUGAGAAGGAGAAUUCGUUCAGAGUAAACUGGAAAUUAUUUGAUUCAGUCUUUUGUACAGAAACCCUCCCAACGUCUGAGUCUCCUGGCUUCCUUGUCUCCCUAAGCCAGGUGGGCAUGGGGACCUCCUCCAUCCCCGUCCAAAGUAGCACCUGGCUCACACCUGUGUGGACGUUGAAACACACUGUCUGCACCUGGAGAGCAAUGGGGACCAGUAGGAGGGGAUUGCACAGGACAGGAGCUUGUCACAGAGCAGCCUCGGGAUGGAAGGAGAUGUACGAAACAAACAAGUGACCCAACUUCCCAUAACAGCGGGAGUUCUUGUGCAUGGGCACCUGGGCAUCGGGUUUCCAGUGACGGAAACCAGAGCGUGGUGCAGGCAGAAUAACGACCCACCUAAACAGUCCACGUCCUGAUCCCCGGAACCUGUGAGUAUGUCACUUUACACGGCAAAGUGGAACUAAGGUUGCAGAUGGAACUGAGUUUGCUUGUCAGCUGACCUUGAGAUGGGGAGAUCAUCCCGGGUUAUCCAGGUGAAGCAAAGGUCAUCACGAGGGUCCUAGUAAGUGGAAAAGGGAAGAAAAGAGAGACCCAGAGACGGCAGCGUGAGAAGGACUCAGCCUGGCAUUGCUGCCUUUGAGGAAGGAGGAAGAGGCCAAGAGCCAAGGAAUACAGGCAGCCUCUAGAAGCUGGAAAAGGCAAGGACACGGCUUUCCCCUGGAGCAUUUAGAAGGAGCCAGCCCAGUCAACACUUUGAUGUUGGCCCACUGAGACUCAUUUUGGACUUCUGACCUUCAGAACUAUCUGUUGGAUCACUCACUCUGGGGGAAGCCGUGUCAUGAGCAGCCCCAUGGAGUGGUCUUUGCGGCAAGGAACUGCUGGCUGGUGCCAACCACAUGAGUCAGCUCGGAAGUCAAUUCUCCAGCUCCCGCUGAGCCUUGAGAUGACCAUGACUCUGUCCCACAGCUGGACACAACCUGAGAGAUGCCGAGCCAGAACGCCCAGCUAAGCUGCUCCCGAAUUCCUAACCCUCAGAAACUGUGAGAUAACAUUGUGUUGUUUGAAACCAUUAAGUUUUGGAGUAAUUUGUUAUGCAGCAAAAGUAAGAAAUAUCGGAAAUCCUUUUCCUUCACAGUUUUGAAAGCUUUGCUCUAUGGCUAAAGCUCUAGCUCUCCAGCGUUUCUGUUGAGAAAUCCAAAACAAUUCUGACCCCGAUUCUUUGAACAUGACCCAUUUCCCCUGGAAGUUGCGGCACGUUCUCUUCAGCCCAUCUGUUCUGAGACUGGACAGUCAUUCGUCUUGUUGCGUCUCCAUGUUCCGUUGUGCUGGGCCCCUGGUGGGCUGCUUCAGUGUAGAAAUUCAUUUCUUUCACUUCUGGGACUUUUCUUGAAUUAUUUCAUUGACAAUUUACUCCUCUUCAUUUUCUCUAUUCUCCAUUCCUAAAAUUCUUUUUGUUCAUAUUUUGGAUCCCCUGGACUAGUCCUUAUUUUCUUACUCACUGCCCUCUUUUCCUCUAUUUUCCAUUUCUGUGUUUUUUGUCUUGCUUUCUGGGUCAUUUCUUUAUCCUCCAAUCUUUUAGUAAAGCUUUUUAUUUUCGUUUUUAUUCUGUGUUCUCUUCUUUUGUUGUUUUUACGGAGUGUUCCCUUUUUAUAGCAUCUUGUUCUUAUGUCAAGGAUGCAGUAUCUUCUAUUAUCACUCUAGAAAUAUCAAUACUAGAGUUUUAGGGGAACUUUUUGGUUUGUUUCUUCAAAAGUCUUCUUCCUCUGCAUAGUCACUGUCUUUUCAAGUUGUUUUCUCUUGUUUAUUUUCUUUGAUCUCUCUCCUUCGUGUGGAUGUCUGGCAACCUUGGUUCCUCUGUUGACAUUUAAGAGUGGAGCACUAAAGAAUUGACUGGAAGCUCUUAGGCUUUAUGGGGUUGAAUUUGUUCCCCUGAGCCUCACCUUGGGUGAUGUGGAUGGACCACUGUGGAUGGACUGUUGGCCCUUGUUCUGGCUAUCCAUCACUGUGUCCAAAGCUUUGUGGCUUCAAACUACAGCACGGGAAUUGCUCACCAGUGUGCCAUCAGGACAGUGCUCAGUGGGGACAGCUCGUUUCUGCCCCAUUCAGCAACAACUGACAUAGCUUGAAGGCUGGAGGAUGAAGGCUUGCUCACUUGUCUGGCAUCUGGGCUGGGGAGACCCAAACAGGUGGAGCUCACACAGCCGGGCCUCCUUGGGCUUUUCUCCAUCUCUGUGUGCUCUCUCCAGCAUGGUGGCUCCAGGGUAGGUACAUUCCCUACAUGUUGGCUCAGGGCUCCCAAAACACUUGCCCAAGAGAAACAACGAGCCAGGGCAGAAGACGUAUCACUUUUUAUGACCCAGCAUUGGAGGUCAUAUCAUUUCUUUCCCUAAAGCAGUCACAAAGGCCCACCCAGUCUUAAGGGAAGGAGAAUAGACCCCACCUCCUGAUAGGAGAAGUCUCAAAAUUCUGGAAGAGCAUAUGAGACCGGAGAUAUUGUUAUAGCCAUUUUUGAUACAAAGUAUCAUAAUACUUAAGUACACUGUGUGCUAGAAAAUUCGUUGUAUCAGUUCCCUAUUGCUGCCAUAAAAAAUAAUCACAAGUUUAG